rnacentral:tRNA from 1 species
GAGGGUAUAGCUCAGUGGUAGAGUUCCCGCUUAGCAUGCAUGAGGUCCUGGGUUUGAUCCUAGUAUCUUCA